rnacentral:rRNA from 1 species
AUUGAACGCUGGCGGCAUGCCUUACACAUGCAAGUCGAACGGCAGCACGGGUGCUUGCACCUGGUGGCGAGUGGCGAACGGGUGAGUAAUACAUCGGAACGUACCUUAUCGUGGGGGAUAACGCAGCGAAAGCUGUGCUAAUACCGCAUACGCCCUGAGGGGGGAAAGCGGGGGGAUCGAAAGACCUCGCGCGAUUAGAGCGGCCGAUGCCUGAUUAGCUUGUUGGUGGGGUAAAAGCCCACCAAGGCGACGAUCAGUAGCUGGUCUGAGAGGACGAUCAGCCACACUGGGACUGAGACACGGCCCAGACUCCUACGGGAGGCAGCAGUGGGGAAUUUUGGACAAUGGGGGGAAACCCCUGAUCCAGCAAUGCCGCGCGAGUG